rnacentral:rRNA from 1 species
AUGGCAGAAGAAGAUGAGGAGAAAACCGCAUUCAUCACUCCAUGUGGCACAGUAGUCCAUGUCGCUCUUGAGCCACAAAUACACAGAAAUGUGGAAGCCUACAUCGAUGACAUAGUGGUCAAGAGCAAGAACAAGGCAACUCUAAUUCAAGAUUUAGACGAGACCUUUGCAAAUCUGCGCAAGAUCAGCCUCAAGCUCAACCCCGAGAAGUGUGUGUUUGGAGUCCCCUCCGGCAAGCUUCUCGGGUUCUUCGUGUCUCAGCGGGGAAUCGAAGCCAAUCCCGACAAUAUCAAGGCCAUUGAGCAGAUUGAAGCACCAAAGCGCGUCAAGGAUGUAUGA